rnacentral:rRNA from 1 species
ACAACUCUAAGUGGGA